rnacentral:rRNA from 1 species
AUUGAACGCUGGCGGCAGGCUUAACACAUGCAAGUCGGACGGUAACAGGGAGGAAGCUUGCUUUCUUUGCUGACGAGUGGCGGACGGGUGAGUAAUGCUUGGGAAUCUGUUUUAUGGAGGGGGAUAACUACGGGAAACUGUAGCUAAUACCGCAUAAUAUCGAGAGAUUAAAGUGUGGGACCGUAAGGCCACAUGCCAUAGAGUGAGCCCAAGUGGGAUUAGGUAGUUGGUGGGGUAAAGGCCUACCAAGCCGUCGAUCUCUAGCUGGUCUGAGAGGAUGACCAGCCACACUGGGACUGAGACACGGCCCAGACUCCUACGGGAGGCAGCAGUGGGGAAUAUUGCACAAUGGGCGCAAGCCUGAUGCAGCCAUGCCGCGUGAAUGAAGAAGGCCUUCGGGUUGUAAAGUUCUUUCGGUGGUGAGGAAGGUUGUAAUGUUAAUAGCAUUAUAAUUUGACGUUAGCCACAGAAGAAGCACCGGCUAACUCCGUGCCAGCAGCCGCGGUAAUACGGAGGGUGCGAGCGUUAAUCGGAAUAACUGGGCGUAAAGGGCACGCAGGCGGAUACUUAAGUGAGGUGUGAAAGCCCUGGGCUUAACCUAGGAAUUGCAUUUCAUACUGGGUAUCUAGAGUAUUUUAGGGAGGGGUAGAAUUCCACGUGUAGCGGUGAAAUGCGUAGAGAUGUGGAGGAAUACCGAAGGCGAAGGCAGCCCUUGGGGGAAUACUGACGCUCAUGUGCGAAAGCGUGGGGAGCAAACAGG